rnacentral:rRNA from 1 species
CACGCAGGCGGCCUGGUAAGUCAGAUGUGAAAGCCCGGGGCUUAACCCUGGAAGUGCAUUUGAAACUAUCAGGCUUGAGUAUGGGAGAGGGAAGUGGAAUUCCUGGUGUAGAGGUGAAAUUCGUAGAUAUCAGGAGGAACACCGGUGGCGAAGGCGACUUCCUGGACCAAUACUGACGCUGAGGUGCGAAGGCGUGGGGAGCAAACA